GUUCGGAUGGCGUAGUGGUCAGCGCAUCUGCCUAAUAAGCAGGAGGCCCAGGUUCGAAUUCCGGUCUGGCACA